CUCUGUUUUACAAUUUUAUCGAGGUUGCUUUGUUGGUAACAACUUAAGUAUGAAUGGUGUUGGGAGUAACGUUGGGCUCCCUUAAAUUCACAACCAAUUUGUGAAUUGUUGAGGGUUCAGUUCGCCAAUAUAUCGGAUUGUUUCGAGGACGUUAGUUGAUUAAGGAGCUUCCCCAACUUUGAGGUA